rfam:Triticum aestivum genome assembly, contig: Triticum_aestivum_CS42_TGACv1_scaffold_221651_3B
GUAGUACUCUCUCCAUCUUAAAAAACUUGUCCCUCAAAUGAAUGUAUCUAGAAUCAAGUUAAUGCUAGAUACAUCCAUUUGAAAGACAAGCUUGAGACAAGCUUUUUCGGAUGGAGGGAGUAGUAG